AUUGAACGCUGGCGGCAGGCCUAACACAUGCAAGUCGAGCGGAUGAAGGGAGCUUGCUCCUGGAUUCAGCGGCGGACGGGUGAGUAAUGCCUAGGAAUCUGCCUGGUAGUGGGGGAUAACGUCCGGAAAUGGGCGCUAAUACCGCAUACGUCCUGAGGGAGAAAGUGGGGGAUCUUCGGACCUCACGCUAUCAGAUGAGCCUAGGUCGGAUUAGCUAGUUGGUGGGGUAAAGGCCUACCAAGGCGACGAUCCGUAACUGGUCUGAGAGGAUGAUCAGUCACACUGGAACUGAGACACGGUCCAGACUCCUACGGGAGGCAGCAGUGGGGAAUAUUGGACAAUGGGCGAAAGCCUGAUCCAGCCAUGCCGCGUGUGUGAAGAAGGUCUUCGGAUUGUAAAGCACUUUAAGUUGGGAGGAAGGGCAGUAAGUUAAUACCUUGCUGUUUUGACGUUACCAACAGAAUAAGCACCGGCUAACUUCGUG
rnacentral:rRNA from 1 species